AAUGCAGCAACAACAGAAGCUACAACCACAACCACUCGUCCCACACCGACAGCUGAAGCUCAAAUGGCUACAACUAAACAUAUGACCCCCAUAGCUACUCAAACAACAAUAACACCAUCUACAACAGCAGCUAAAACUACAACAGCUCCUACAACAAAAACUGUUACACCUAGAACAUCGGUCCACACCACAUCAAGUACACCAGCUAAAACAGAAGGUCCAACCACAACAACUCUUCCCACACCGACGGCUGAAGCUCAAAAGACUGCAACUAAACCGACCACCACCAUAGCUUCUCAAACAACAAUACCACCCACUACAAUUGGGGCUGAAACUACAACUACUGCUCCAUCAACAACAGCAGUUCAUACCACAUUAGGUACUCAAGCUACAUCAGAAGGUCCAACCACAACAACUCGUCCGACACCGACAGCUGAAGCUCAAACGACUACAACCAAAACAGCCACCACGAUGGCUGCUCAGACAACAAUACCACCUUCUAUGACAGCAGCUCAAACUACAACUAUCGCUCCAACAACAAAAACUGUUCCACCAACAACAGCAGUUCAUACCACAUUAGGUACUGCAGCUACAACAGAAGGUCCAACCACAACAACUCUUCCCACACCGACGGCUGAAGCUCAAAAGACUGCAACUAAACCGACCACCACCAUAGCUUCUCAAACAACAAUACCACCCACUACAAUUGGGGCUGAAACUACAACUACUGCUCCCACAACAAAAACUGCUCCAUCAACAACAUCAGUUCAUACCCCAUUAGGUACUCCAGCUACAACAGAAGCUCCAACAACAAUUAAUCUUCCCACGACAGCUGAAGCUCACAUGACUACAACUAAAACUGCCACCACCAUCGCUGCUCAAACAACAAAAGCACCUUCUACGAUUGCAGCUCAAACUACUACUAUUGCUC